GAGUCAGUCUGCCUGGUGGAACUGAGCCAUUUAACAAGCAGCAUUUUUUUUUUACUGCUCUUUGGGAGUAGGCCCCAAGGAGCUGGUAAUUCAGGGCUUUGAUCAGCUGUUAAAAUGCAAGCAGGGAGAUGGGACAUGAACUGAUUGCAUAUUCCAGAGUAUUGGCAUGGCUAGAAGGAAGGGGCAACUCUGUACUUUCAUCGUCUUCACCUCUAAGGAGGUCACUCACUGGCAUCUCCCUGCAGCUCUGGGUAAUCUGUUAGCCUGUUCAGGUUACCAAAUGAUCCAUUAAAACAAGUUAACCUGAUGAACAGAUACUGCCUGCCCAUGUAUGAUCAUGCUGAAGACACAGAAGUUGCCAUGUUGGCUGUGUGAUCUCAUAAUUCCAGAACCCUUUAAAUAAAAGUGCAGCAGGUAGCAGAGUUUCACAGACUCGAAUCCCACCCAGAGGACAAGUUGUGCUGGCUUCAGCUGGAAGACAUGCUUCUUUUCUAGGCCUCUAGCACCAUCAGAACCCUGAGAAGAUGACACGGUGCAACUGCAGGCCCCCUUCCCUCAGCAGGCGCAAAAGGAAGGGUGCUGGAGGCCAGAGGAAAGGGAGAAGAGGAAAGAAAGGGAGAAAAGUAUCUGUAGCUCACACUGUGUACUACUACAGGAAGGUAAAAUAGCCUUUGUGAGCCUCCCUUUUCCAACGUGCAGCAGUUUUGGAAACAUCAGCCGACACCGACAAGAUGAUUUCUGCCACAGCUCCACCAAAGUCAGAUGGACUGACACACCAAGAUGCUGAAGUCCUCCAGAGAGCAACAAUUUGUCAUUAAACGUGAAGCUGCAAUGUC